rnacentral:antisense_RNA from 1 species
UUUUAUGGUGGCUGUGUUUGGGACGCCUUCGGGUGUGCCGGGUAUGCACGAUCCUCACCGGUUGACCAACCCGAACACAGUCGCCUCCUGU